rnacentral:rRNA from 1 species
GAUGAACGCUGGCGGCGUGCCUAAUACAUGCAAGUCGAGCGAACAGAUGAGGAGCUUGCUCCUCUGACGUUAGCGGCGGACGGGUGAGUAACACGUGGAUAACCUACCUAUAAGACUGGGAUAACUUCGGGAAACCGGAGCUAAUACCGGAUAAUAUAUUGAACCGCAUGGUUCAAUAGUGAAAGACGGUUUUGCUGUCACUUAUAGAUGGAUCCGCGCCGCAUUAGCUAGUUGGUAAGGUAACGGCUUACCAAGGCAACGAUGUGUAGCCGACCUGAGAGGGUGAUCGGCCACACUGGAACUGAGACACGGUCCAGACUCCUACGGGAGGCAGCAGUAGGGAAUCUUCCGCAAUGGGCGAAAGCCUGACGGAGCAACGCCGCGUGAGUGAUGAAGGUCUUCGGAUCGUAAAACUCUGUUAUUAGGGAAGAACAAAUGUGUAAGUAACUAUGCACGUCUUGACGGUACCUAAUCAGAAAGCCACGGCUAACUACGUGC